ACAGCAGCCCAUAUUUGCACAACUAUAAGCACAUUGUCAACCUCACACUUGUUGCAAAACUCUACACACAGUGAUUUGCAAAACACUAAACACACUUAACAUACAUCACACACAAAAAUCUAUCAUGAAGUCACUUCCUUGCAAUACCAAAGCACUGACUGUCAAAUUACCGCACCGUCCAACUAAUUGGUUCAACACAGUCAUCAGGUGUGCAAACACUUGUUUGUUUAAUUGUAGACACACCAAUCAGGUGUGUAAGCACUAUAAAAAGCAGCAGGUGAGUUCAUCGGUCUUCAAGCAAAAUGGAAGGAGGAGGAGGAAGGGGAGGAAGAGGAAUCAACAGAGGAAGAGGAAGAGAUGGAGGCCAUGCUGGAGGUAGUAGAAGAGGAAGACGAAGACAAGAAGGUGCUCAAAGAGGACCGAAUCUGACAAAUGAGAUCCGCCAACACUGGUUGACCAUGUUGUCAACCACGGCCUGACGCUGAGGGAGGCUGGACUGCGAGUACAGCCAAAUCUAAGCCGAUACACAGUGGCAAGUGUGAUAAGAACAUUUCGGCUGGAAAAUAGGAUUGAGGGUCAGGAACGACAAGGGGGAAGGCCUCCUAUGUUCAUAGAACAGCAAGAGAGGGAGACAGUAAACAUGGUUUUGGCCAACAAUGCUAUAACACUCAAACAGCUCCAAGCUAACAUUGUCAAUAACCAUGCCAGUUUCAACGAUAUCCAUCAGGUCUCAAUAUCAACACUGGCACGCAUCCUAAAAAAAAAACCAUAUUCAAUUGAAGCAAAUUUAUCGAGUGCCUUUCGAGCGCAAUUCCGAAAGGGUGAAACAACUGCGGCAUGAUUAUGCAGAGGUAGUUCUACGAAUGGAUGGAGAGGAGAUCCAGCAUGAGUUCAUUUACGUAGAUGAGGCUGGGUUCAACCUGACGAGAACACGAAGGAGGGGAAGAAACGUCAUUGGCCACAGGGCUAUAGUCAAUGUCCCAGGG